UACAGAGGUCUCAAGCGUUUGUUCGGAUUCAUUGGGCGUAAAGGGUGCGUAGGUGGCGUGGUAAGUCGGAUGUGAAAUCCCGGGGCUCAACCCCGGAACUGCAUUCGAUACUGCCAUGCUAGAGUACUGGAGAGGAGAUUGGAAUUUACGGUGUAGCAGUGAAAUGCGUAGAUAUCGUAAGGAAGACCAGUGGCGAAGGCGGAUCUCUGGACAGUUACUGACACUGAGGCACGAAGGCCAGGGGAGCAAACGGG
rnacentral:rRNA from 1 species